UAACCUGCCCAAGAGAUCGGGAUAACACCUGGAAACAGAUGCUAAUACCGGAUAACAACAGAUGAUGCCUAUCAACUGUUUAAAAGAUGGUUCUGCUAUCACUCUUGGAUGGACCUGCGGUGCAUUAGCUAGUUGGUAGGGUAACGGCCUACCAAGGCGAUGAUGCAUAGCCGAGUUGAGAGACUGAUCGGCCACAUUGGGACUGAGACACGGCCCAAACUCCUACGGAGGCAGCAGCG
rnacentral:rRNA from 1 species